rnacentral:lncRNA from 1 species
UAUGAAAUAAUAUAAUAUUUGCCGCAUUUGCAGUCGCAAUUAAUCUCAUCAUGAAAAUAUAAUUUGAUUGAUUAGUAAUUAGAUGUUGUAUGGAGCAAUUAUUACUAGCGACUCGUAUUCUAACCAAACAAUUGACGACAUUCCAAGAACGUCAACUUUCUCUUGUAAUCAUAAAUAAUUGCAACGCAACGUUCAUACAAAGAGUAUUUCUUCCGAUAAUUAUCACCAAUGUUUCCCAGUGUCUCCUACGCUUAUUAUCCAAAGAAUUCAUAAUUUCUCAACAAUAUCAGCCUUUCUACUUUAUCUUUGAACGUCUAUAAUUUAA